UACUGAUGAUUCCAGCAAGAUCUUUUAGCUUAUUUGUGUGUUCCAGGUUGGAAGAAAUAACAGUAGACUCCGAAGGAGAAGAAACAGGAAAGAGAAACUUGUUCCUGGUGCCAUAAGGAUGAAAAAUUGGGAGCAAGGGAGAGCAAGAAAAAAAGAGAUUGAUAUUUUGCUUCCAAAUCAACACCUGGAGGGGAGCAAGGCACCCUGGAAACGGUGGGACACAUGCUAUGGGAAGAAGAAAAUAAAGAGGAGGGGAAGAUGUGGAUCCAGGAUUCAUCACAUCAGUUGUAAACCUGGUAUAGAGGCUUGUAGGAAUAUUACACAGAGGAAUUUGGCCUCUGAUAUAAACCUAGCAGAGGACAACCUUGCGAAUGUGAUCCAAAUACUUCUUCCUCUUCUUGAAACCUAGGCACUGAGGCCUACGUGGCUGACAUGGAGGGCCAAGCUGGAGGGGAAGCAGAUGACCUAGGCAUUAAUCCCACUAGAAAACCAAACGACAUGUGAGAGGAAUUUCUUGUCUGAGAAAAUCUUCAGAAAUCUGGCUGAACACUCUUUUCUCUCACUAUUCACCUGGCUUUGAGGGAUAACAAGGACUUAGCCAGGAGUCAGCCACAGCUACAACAAAACUGAGUUAGUCAUCUGCAUGUUACCAACCACGUGCUCAGAAAUGGCCGUCCUACAAAAACAAGUUCUUCGAGACCUGCACCACUCCUUCCUUUAGUUUGGUUUCAAACUAAAACAGGGGAGAUUUAGACUGGAAAUAAGAAGAAGAUUUUUUGUUUUUUUGUUUUUUGUUUGUUUGUUUGUUUGUUUGUUUAUGAUAAGG
ensembl:lncRNA